rnacentral:rRNA from 1 species
GAUACCCUAUUAUAAAAAUUUAAAUUAAUUUACUAAAAAAUUAAUAGUUAUGUUCUUUAAAUUUAAAAAAUUUGGCGGUAUUUUAGUCUUAUUAGAGGAAUCUGUUUAUUAAUUGAUAAUCCACGAUUAAUUUUACUUAUUUUAAUUAAUUCAUAUAUCGCUGUCAUGAAUAUAUUUUAAAAAAUUUAUUUUCUUUAAUUAUUUUAAUAAUUUAUGUUAAGUCAAGAUGUGGUUUAUAAAUAAGAAUAUAAUGGAUUACAUUAAAUUUUAUUUUUGGAUUUUGAAUGAAAAUUAAAAUGAAAUUGGAUUUAAUAGUAAGUUUAAUUAUUUUAUUAAUAUGAAUAAAGAUCUAAAUUAU